GACGAACGCUGGCGGCGUGCUUAACACAUGCAAGUCGAACGGAGCGAAUGAAAGCUUGCUUUUAUGAGCUUAGUGGCAAACGGGUGAGUAACACGUAGACAACCUGCCGAUCAGAUGGGGACAACAUUCCGAAAGGAAUGCUAAUACCGAAUGGCGUGUAGGGGAGGCAUCUCCCGUACAUGAAAGAUGGCCUCUAUAUAUAAGCUAUCACUGAUCGAUGGGUCUGCGUCUGAUUAGCUGGUAGGUAAGGUAACGGCUUACCUAGGCGACGAUCAGUAGCCGGUCUGAGAGGAUGAACGGCCACAUUGGGACUGAGACACGGCCCAGACUCCUACGGGAGGCAGCAGUGGGGAAUCUUCCGCAAUGGGCGCAAGCCUGACGGAGCAACGCCGCGUGAGUGAAGAAGGUCUUCGGAUCGUAAAGCUCUGUUGAAGGGGACGAACGUACAUAGUGCGAAUAGUGCUGUGUAAUGACGACCUUUGAGGAGCCACGC
rnacentral:rRNA from 1 species